rnacentral:tRNA from 1 species
CUUGCGACAGCUUAGUCGGUAGAGCGGAGGACUGUAGUUCCUUAGGUCGUUGGUUCAAGACCAGCUCGCAAGA